CCCUUAUUUAGAGUGGUGGAGAUACAUAGGAUCUAUGAAGCCCGGCAACCCCUUUUUAGGAAGGUGCCAACCUGAGCGAGAGAAUUCGAACAAUGAGAG
rnacentral:ncRNA from 2 species